rnacentral:rRNA from 1 species
UACAGAGGUCCCAAGCGUUGUUCGGAUUCACUGGGCGUAAAGAGCUCGUAGGCGGUCUGUCGCGUCGGAUGUGAAAGCCCGGGGCUUAACCCCGGGUCUGCAUUCGAUACGGGCAGACUAGAGUGUGGUAGGGGAGAUCGGAAUUCCUGGUGUAGCGGUGAAAUGCGCAGAUAUCAGGAGGAACACCGGUGGCGAAGGCGGAUCUCUGGGCCAUUACUGACGCUGAGGAGCGAAAGCGUGGGGAGCGAACAGG